rnacentral:lncRNA from 1 species
AUGAAAUGAUUAGUUUUCAAAUUAUUUUAUUUUAAAUCAAAUUCUGACAUAGAUAUAUUUCAGCUUUUUGUUCAAAUUUUUAUUGUGAAAUCGCUGCAGUGAUGACCCCAUUGAUGAGAGUGUCCUAGCUGUCUGUGGAGUUGAAGACUUCAGCUUUAAGAUUGAAGACACUGUUGACAAUAGCAGUACUUAUGUGAUACCUCCUUCGUGUUCAACUUUGAGGACAUGGGAGGCAAACAAUCCCAAUUAAUUUGUUGGUGGCUUGGGAGAUAUAACUCCCCAAGCUAAGCUGUGAAACUUGUGCAACUACCAAACAUAAUUUUAAAAACCUGUUAAUUAUCUUGGAUCAGACCAGCUAAAACAUUGAGGAGCUACAUUCCAACACAUCAACAAGGUGAACCUUUAACAUUUUGAACGGGAAAGUACUGCAGUAUUCAACGAUAUCGAGGUAGAAUUCUUACUGUGAAUAUCAAAUAGGAAAAGCAGAUUUUGUUAUUAAUUCAUUAGUUUCUUCAAAAGUAUGUAUCAAUUCUAGUUUAAAAAUCUUAAUCAGAAAACUAUUUAUGAACAUAGUAGCACAAAAACAAAUUACAAAUGACCAGAAGAUAUUUUGGAAGCAGCUGAAUAUGAUUUGUUUAGUAAUAAGUGCCUAUAAUGUAGCAUUGUCUUUGAAACUUUGUAUUUUAUGUUACACUUAAAUAUAACCUGAAAUAUUAAACCCAUCUCCCCAAUACUCCCAACACUUCAAGAGCUGCCUCAUGCUGAAUUCAAACUUAAGUCCCUCCUACUGUAACAUAGACAUAAAGCCCAAACUUAAUCUCUCAUAGACUUACAUUGAGUCCUUAGCUCAAUAUUAGGCUUCCAUAAACUAACCAUAAAGGAUUAUACUCAAACGUGGUCACCAAUAGACUUAACAUGGGGACAAUAGCUCAAACUUAACCUCCAGUUGACUAAACAUAGACACUUAAGCUCAGACUUAAGUUUCCUAUAGAUUUAACAUAGAGUUUUAAGCUCAAACUUGGUCUCCCAUAGACUUAAUUUGAGACUUAACUCAAACUGUGUCUCCGAUAGACUUUACAGAAAGACAAAAGCUCAAACUUAACCUCCCAUAUACUGAACAUAGGGGCUUACUCAAAAACCUAAUCUCCGAAGACAUAAGAUAGAGACUUAAGCUCAAACUCAGCUUCAAAUUGACUCGAAAUUGGGUGAUAACCUGCAGUACAGCUAUACAUGUAUGAAUUGCUUAGAAAUGAGAGCUUUUUGUAGCAGUUCUCCUAUGGCUUUAUAUGGUGUACUUGCUGUAUCAAUAGUGCUUGUACAAUCUUGCUUAUUUUUUAGAAAAUUGAUAUUUAUAAUAUUUUGUUAUCGUGAUGUAAGACAUGGUAUUGAUAAUGUAGUAGUGUAUAGCAAGAUGUCUUCACAAUGUGUUUAUCUUUGCAUGUUCACAGUUUCUGCAUAGUCACAAUUUUUUUAAAUUGUCAAAAUUUCUAACUACAAAAUCAUUUGCAAAUUUAAAACGUUAAAAAAUGUGAUGAUGAAUGUAUCAUGUAUAUAAAUUAUAAUAAUUGUG